rnacentral:rRNA from 1 species
GAUGAACGCUGGCGGCGUGCUUAACACAUGCAAGUCGAACGGAAAGGCCCCAUCUUGCUGGGGGUGCUCGAGUGGCGAACGGGCGAGUAACACGUGGGUGAUCUGCCCUGCACUUCGGGAUAAGCUUGGGAAACUGGGUCUAAUACCGGAUAGGACCAUCGUUUAGUGUCGGUGGUGGAAAGUUUUUCGGUGUGGGAUGAGCUCGCGGCCUAUCAGCUUGUUGGUGGGGUAAUGGCCUACCAAGGCGUCGACGGGUAGCCGGCCUGAGAGGGUGUACGGCCACAUUGGGACUGAGAUACGGCCCAGACUCCUACGGGAGGCAGCAGUGGGGAAUAUUGCACAAUGGGCGCAAGCCUGAUGCAGCGACGCCGCGUGGGGGAUGACGGCCUUCGGGUUGUAAACUCCUUUCGCCAAGGACGAAGAGGAUAUUGACGGUACUUGGAGAAGAAGCACCGGCUAACUACGUG